GCCAGAUUAGAGUUGCAGUGCUGUACUUUAGUAUGGGUAAACAGAAAUGUAUCCAGAAGGAGAGAGGGGUGUUCAGGUCUUCUAAGUAGAAGUCAGACACUCCUCAAAUAUUGUGGACAGGGGUCAUGGUUUAGAGUAGAAAAUUGGGCUAACAGAGAAGCUUUGAAUUCCCAUAGUUAAUACUGGAGGAAAUGAGUCAUCGGUGAUAAGCAAAGCCACACACAAUAUUGUUGGUUCUUAUUGACUGAAUUUACUUUGGUUGCCUUUUAGGUGAGCCCGUGGUAGCAGCAGAAGCAGGCAUUAUGGGAUAACGAUUGUGUAAAGAAACAGCUUCUUCAUUCCUGCACUGGUUGCCACCAACAUUCUCUUGGUUGAUGAGAUCAUGCGAGCUGGAAUCUUCUCUGAAAGGUUGAAUUGAAGCUUCCUCUGUAUCUGAGUCUUGAAGACUCUGCAAAGUGAUCCUGAAGAAUACAGCUGUGGAAUUUUUGUCCAAGCUUCAAAUGAGUUUCAAGGGAAUUUUCCCAUGUGAAAAAAGGAGAGAACACUGGCAUCUGUUGAAAUUCGGAAGUUCUGAAAUUAUAAUCACAGUAUUUUUUAAAAAUUGCACUGAAGUGUACACAGAUAAAGCAGGUCUUUCACCCAGUGAACAGGAUGUUUUGCUUUAGCAGCAGUGACAUAAAAUUCCAUGUUAAAUAAGCAUAUAUUACCUACCUUAUUAAAUAUUCCUUGAAAAAG
rnacentral:lncRNA from 1 species